GACGAACGCUGGCGGCGUGCUUAACACAUGCAAGUCGAACGAUGAACUUGGAGCUUGCUCUGGGGGAUUAGUGGCGAACGGGUGAGUAACACGUGAGUAACCUGCCCUGGACUCUGGGAUAACUUCGAGAAAUCGGAGCUAAUACCGGAUAGGACCUUGCACCGCAUGGUGUGGGGUGGAAAGUUUUUCGGUUUGGGAUGGACUCGCGGCCUAUCAGCUUGUUGGUGAGGUAAUGGCUCACCAAGGCGUCGACGGGUAGCCGGCCUGAGAGGGUGACCGGCCACACUGGGACUGAGACACGGCCCAGACUCCUACGGGAGGCAGCAGUGGGGAAUAUUGCACAAUGGGCGCAAGCCUGAUGCAGCAACGCCGCGUGCGGGAUGACGGCCUUCGGGUUGUAAACCGCUUUUAGUAGGGAAGAAGCCUCUUGGGGUGACGGUACCUGCAGAAAAAGGACCGGCUAACUACGUGCCAGCCGCCGCCGUAAGAC
rnacentral:rRNA from 1 species